rnacentral:rRNA from 1 species
GACGAACCGUGCGAACGUUAUUCGGAAUCACUGGGCUUAAAGCGCGUGUAGGCGGGCCGCCACGUCAGUCGCUGAAAUCCCCCGGCUCAACCGGGGAAGUGGCACUGAUACGAGCGGCCUGGAGGGAGGGUAGGGGGGCUGGAACUCCGGUGGAGCGGUGAAAUGCGCAGAUAUCAGGAGGAACACCGGUGGCGAAGGCGGGUCUCUGGGCCGUAACUGACGCUGGAGGAAGCGAAAGCAUCGGGGAGCGAACAGGAUUAGACAUACCC